AGCUAGAAAAUUUGAGAAUGAGAAAUACAGUGAGGAAUUCGAGAGUCUCAGAGAAAGCAAAAACUUGAUGAAUUUGAUGAUCCAGUGUGGAAUAAUGGUUUUACAGAUUUCAGGUACCGAGAAUGAACUUGGAUUCAUAGUAGCGGGCUUAGGUGGAAGAGUUAGUGUUGAGGAAUUAAAUUAUUUUAUUUAGAGACUUUUAUGUAUUUAUUUGAGGAAAUUGAUUUAGUAUCAAUUUAAUUAAUUUGAGCUAUUGCCUUAUUUAUUUGAGGAAAUUUGAUUGAUUUUGUAUCAAUAAAGGGUAUUUUAUUUCUUUUGAGA